AGAGUUUGAUCCUGGCUCAGGAUGAACGCUAGCGGCAGGCUUAAUACAUGCAAGUCGAACGGGAUUCGGGGUAGCAAUACUUUGAUGAGAGUGGCGCACGGGUGCGUAACGCGUAUGCAACCUACCUUUAACAGGGGAAUAGCCCCGAGAAAUCGGGAUUAAUACUCCGUAACAUUGCGGUGUGGCAUCACACUGCAAUUAAAGAUUUAUCGGUUAAAGAUGGGCAUGCGUGACAUUAGCUAGUUGGUGAGGUAACGGCUCACCAAGGCAACGAUGUCUAGGGGUCCUGAGAGGGUUAUCCCCCACACUGGUACUGAGACACGGACCAGACUCCUACGGGAGGCAGCAGUAAGGAAUAUUGGUCAAUGGGCGCAAGCCUGAACCAGCCAUGCCGCGUGCAGGAAGACGGCCCUAUGGGUUGUAAACUGCUUUUAUCAGGGAAUAAACCCCCGCUCGUGAGCGGGGCUGAAGGUACCUGAAGAAUAAGCAUCGGCUAACUCCGUGCCAGCAGCCGCGGUAAUACGGAGGAUGCAAGCGUUAUCCGGAUUCAUUGGGUUUAAAGGGUGCGCAGGCGGAUUGGUAAGUCAGGGGUGAAAUCCCACAGCUCAACUGUGGAACUGCCUUUGAUACUGUCAGUCUAGAGUAUAGUUGAAGUUGGCGGGAAUGUGUCAUGUA
rnacentral:rRNA from 1 species